UACGGAGGGGGCCAGCGUUGUUCGGAAUCAUUGGGCGUAAAGGGCGCGUAGGCGGCUUUGUAAGUCCGUUGUGAAAUCCCUCGGCUCAACCGAGGAACUGCGACGGAUACUGCUCGGCUUGAGUCCCGGAGAGGGUAGCGGAAUUCCCAGUGUAGCGGUGAAAUGCGUAGAUAUUGGGAGGAACAUCGGUGGCGAAGGCGGCUUCCUGGACGGGUACUGACGCUGAUGCGCGAAAGCUAGGGGAGCAAACAGG
rnacentral:rRNA from 1 species